GGAAGUGUUGCUGGGAAGGUUGAGAUUUUGUUUUCAUCCCUGCAUUACUGUCAUGCCCCGAGAGUAUAAUUGGUACUUUUGCGUGAAUCCAACUAUCAGCGAGUUGUCUGCAAUAUACUGCAUGGGUUUUCAUAUCAAUAACCAGAUGCUAGGUUUACGCCCCUCUGCACUCAAUAAGACUUAGAAUUGCGGGUACAGGCUACAAUAGACAACCUGGGAACUGUAGCCGAGUUGGGUAAUUUUGGAGAAUACCUGACAUAUUAUUGGUUCCUGAAUUAUUGAGAUAACUUGUUUAAGGUAGCACAGUUACUUUUCGUAA